rnacentral:snRNA from 1 species
GGGUCCACGGCAUCUCCAUUUUUGUUGUCGGGAGCGGCUGGAAUGCUUUGUGGGGUGGCAGGAACAUUUGGCGCAAACCCCACAGAUGUUGUAAAGGUCCGCAUGCAAAAUAACUCAAAGGAUGAAACGGACUCUGA